rnacentral:rRNA from 1 species
GACGUAGGGCGCGAGCGUUGUCCGGAUUUAUUGGGCGUAAAGGGCGCGUAGGCGGGAAAGUCAGUCAGAUGUGAAAUCCCGGAGCUCAACUCCGGAACAGCAUUUGAAACUGCUUUUCUAGAGGGUAGGCGGAGAAAACGGAAUUCCACAAGUAGCGGUGAAAUGCGUAGAUAUGUGGAAGAACACCAGUGGCGAAGGCGGUUUUCUAGCUUACACCUGACGCUGAGGCGCGAAAGCAAGGGGAGCAAACAGG